GUUAACGCCGCGGUAUUUGACGGUGCAAGGUAGCGCAAUCACUUGUCUUUUAAAUGAAGACCUGUAUGAAUGGUGGAACGAGGGCCUAACUGUCUCCCUUUUCAAGUCAAUGAAAUUGAUCUAUCCGUGCAGAAGCGGGUAUGCGAAUACAAGACGAGGAGACCCUUUGGAGCUAAAGAUUAAAAAUCAACUAUGUAAUAUACUCCCACAGAUAAACUAAAUAGCAACUGAUCAUAAUCUUCGGUUGGGGCGACCACGGAAUAAAGACAAACUUCCACAUGGACUGAGGACUAACCUUAAACCCAAGAAAGACAUUUCUAAGUCACAGAAUUUCUGACCACACAGAUCCGGCAAACCGCCGAUCAAUGGACCAAGUUACCCUAGGGAUAACAGCGCAAUCCCCUUUUAGAGUUCCUAUCGACAAGGGGGUUUACGACCUCGAUGUUGGAUCAGGACAUCCUAAUGGUGCAGC
rnacentral:rRNA from 1 species